rnacentral:rRNA from 1 species
AUACAGAGGGGGCAAGCGUUAAUCGGAUUUACUGGGCGUAAAGCGCGCGUAGGUGGCUAAUUAAGUCAAAUGUGAAAUCCCCGAGCUUAACUUGGGAAUUGAAUUCGAUACUGGUUAGCUAGAGUAUGGGAGAGGAUGGUAGAAUUCCAGGUGUAGCGGUGAAAUGCGUAGAGAUCUGGAGGAAUACCGAUGGCGAAGGCAGCCAUCUGGCAUAAUACUGACACUGAGGGGCGAAAGCAUGGGGAGCAAACAGGAUUAGAUACCCUGGUAGUCCAUGCCGUAAACGAUGUCUACUAGCCGUUGGGGCCCUUGAGGCUUUAGUGGCGCAGCUAACGCGAUAAGUAGACCGCCUGGGGAGUACGGUCGCAAGACUAAAACUCAAAUGAAUCGACGGGG